ensembl:lncRNA
AUCCGAGCUCCGGGAGCCUCCGGGGGAUCCGAGCUCAGGGAGCCCGAAGGGGAUCCGAGCUCAGGGAGUCUCCGGGGGAUCCGAGCUCCGGGACCCUGCGGGAUCCCCGCAAUCCCCCCGGCACAGGCGGGGAGCUGCUGACUCGGAUGUCGCUGCGGGACCGUGUGCUCGCUCAUAUCUGGGCUCCAAGGGGAGCGAACCGAGUGUGGAGCUAGGAGAGUUCAGGCACAAGGUGAGGGUGGGUGCAGUCAGGAAAGCCAGAGCCCAGGGAGGAGGAGCAAGGAAGGAUAGAUACCACAGAGCAAGAGGAAAAAAGAAAAUAACACCACAACAAAAGAAAAGACAGUAAAAGGGAGCGCAAUAAUGGGCAUGCAUUUCUCUUUCUUCUGCCCCAUGGCAAGCUGCCAAUCUCUUCCACACAAAUUCCUCAGUGCUACUAAAACCAGUCCCCAUGGACACACCUGCCUUGAGACAAAUUCUUUCAGUCUUGAAAAAAUCUGGGCACUUCUUCAAUAAAGCGCUUUGCUUUUAAACUGCUUUGCCUUUGUGAAUUUUGGCAGCAGCUCACACUUGGAGAGCUUUUGAGCACCCUUUCUGUAAUCAGAUUUCCCUGCCCUGCCCCGGGGGACUGUGGGCGAGUCACUUCCCACAGCUGUCCCUCAGCUUCCAGUUCUGUGACGUGUGGCUCACCACUACCUCAAAGGGCUGGGGCGAGGCGUCAUUUGUGUGUGAAGAGCUGUGAAAUCCAUGAGGGUGAGCAGCUCAUGACAUGCUGUGAGCGCAGUGUUACCAUCAGCUCAUCACUCGGCUAUGGCAGGAGGUGGGGCAGGCACACUUCACUGCCAGUGCAAAACAUCAUAAACUGGGAUCUGUGCUGGUGUGAUUGGUACCACAGACAGAAGAUAAUGAAGUGCACUGCCCCAAAGAGCUUUUGGCCAGAGAUCCCAAAUGUCCAACAGUUUACAUUAUACUGAAAGGUGAUGAACCAUUACUCUGAUUUUACACACGUGGUCAAAUACACUGCACAAGCUGAACUGGGGCUUCCAGGACUCUUUCCUCAGGUCACCCUGCUCUGUGAGGGAGGAGGCACCAGCUGCUGCUUACCCAAGCGUCCAGUUGCAUGCAAUGAUCUUUGUAGGUGUGAAACAAAAGUGCUGUCUGCUCUGGGCAGCUCCCUCUGUCAGUGGUAGGUACUAACUUGCCAGUUUACUAAGAGCUGACCACCAACCAUGGCCAUCCAUCCAGGGACUAAACUGAGUGUGGUUUGCACAUGUGUGGAUGCUUGUUUUGUCAGUUCCAUGGUCUGUUUUGUUUGUAUGGCACUUUCAUUUGUAAGAGGUGUCAGUGAAACCUGGAUUCCCUGGGGACAGGAAAAAAACAGGUAUUUUGCCAGUUCUGUUCUACUUUAGGCCACUUGCAGAAGUGAGAAGCAUUUCCAUUGCUAUCCCAGCCAAAAGUCUCUCUUCUAAGGCAGGGGCUGGCUUCUCCCACCAGCACUUGCUGAACACAGGGGUCAUCAUAGGAACACCUUUUCCCUUUCUGAGAGAACCUGCUCCUGUUAGGAAAUGCAAGGAAAGGAGAGAAGGCUGCCUGACUAAAGAAUGCCUUUAAAGGUCAAAUAACCUUUUCAGUAGCUGAGCAAUAGAUUUUAAGACAAACAGUGGAUGAGAGUGUAUCAGGAUAAGGGGGCACAUGAAUUCAGAUAGGGCAAAGAGAGUAAUUUCUGUACAACCUGGGAAGACUCUUGAGAGCAGAGACCUGAGCAGGCUGGGCACGCACAGGCACAGCAAGCGUUGUGUUAGUGCUGUUUCAGACACCUCUGAUGGCAAUGGGACUGUCACCAGCUGUGACACUGCAUAAAAUCAGUAGCACCAAGCAUUGGCUUCACUCAUGCUGCUUCACACCUCUGGUGGGCUUUAGGUUCUGCAGCAAUCUGGUUUAGGUUGGCUGUGGUGAUCAUUGUUUCUAUGAUGUUUUUGGAUCUGUAGACUUAUGAUGUCAGGGAAUUGUAGAGUUCCCCUGUAGAAAGCAGAGGAGAAUGAAAAACCACAGAGGACCAAGACAGAAGGAGCAGAAGUAAAUUCAGUGCAGUAGAGGUCCAUUUUCUGAAGACAUUAAACAGCUUUAAGACUACACUAGUAAAUGAACACACCCUUUUUAUCACUGAGGCAACCGAAGUGGGGAGAGUGGAAACAG